UACAGAGGGGGCAAGCGUUGUUCGGAAUUACUGGGCGUAAAGGGCGCGUAGGCGGCCUUCUAAGUCAUACGUGAAAUCCCCGGGCUCAACCCGGGUACUGCGUCCGAUACUGGAAGGCUUGAAUCCGGGAGAGGGAUGCGGAAUUCCAGGUGUAGCGGUGAAAUGCGUAGAUAUCUGGAGGAACACCGGUGGCGAAGGCGGCAUCCUGGACCGGUAUUGACGCUGAGGCGCGAAAGCCAGGGGAGCAAACGGG
rnacentral:rRNA from 1 species